GGGGAAAUAGUGUAGGGGUUAUCACGUUCGCUUUGCAUGCGAAAGGUCCGGGGUUCAAUUCCCCGUUUCUCCA
rfam:Pochonia chlamydosporia 170 PCv3seq00027, whole genome shotgun sequence.